rnacentral:lncRNA from 1 species
CUCAAACAUAUGAUUGUUUUCCCAUAAACGACAAUAUCUAUAAAGCUGUCUUAUUGAAUAUUUUCUUAAAUUGUUACUAUUAUAUUUGGUUUUGAUCACUCGUUUUGGCACAAGACUUUUGAGUAUGUAUACAUCAUUUGAUUUGUGUAUAUACAUAAAGAACUUAGUUUUUGAGAGCUCUCUCUCUUCUCUCUCUCUUCUCUCUCCCUUCUCCAGUUUACGCCAUCUGAGAUCUGCUCCUCUCACGGUGGUCGGUUGCUUUCCGGCGCCGGUCACCGUGAGGCAUCUGUUCCGCAUGUUCCUGUAGCGCCUCCACCCUCUAGGUUCCGCAUUUUCCUGUAGCGCCUCCCCCCGCUGGCCCCCUCCUAGUCUCCUCUCUUUGCUUGGCGAUUCUGGUCCGUUGGAAUUCUCUUCACCGGUUCUAACUGAAGUCAUUGGUGUCUCUGGCUUCUCUGGAACUCCGGCGAGGGAUGAUAAAGUGGGGGUAUCUUAGGGGCCUUGAAUCUUCCUCUAGUGAGCCGAUUGCGCUCAGAUCUGGGUCAGAUCUGAGAUCCUUGACCCGGCAGACUGCAGACUGUGAGAUGCGUCGCUGCUGUCUCCGUUCUAGCCUUUGUGUCUUGCUCCAGUCGGUACUCUCUGUCGUUUGCUUCAAGGUUAUCCUAGAGCUCCUCCUCUCAGAUCUGAGAGAAACGUGGCGGUGAGGCUCGCCACUGAGGACCUCUUGUUCCUUUAGUUCUUGAGACGACAACCAUGGCGAAGCUAUGGUGUAUGCUUGGUUCUCUCUUCUCGCUCAUGACGUCGACUCUAGGGUUUUGAGGACGACCCGUUGUGGUGGCGUUCUUGCUUGAAGUGGUGAUCUCGCUCAUCGGUGUUGUAGCCUGUUUUGAGGAGUCUUCGUACUCCUUCCGUGUUCUAACUUCUCUAGUCUUCGCUCCAGUGGAAGCUUUGGUGCUCACUCGUCGCUCCGCCGAACCCUCUGAGUCAUUCUCCAGAUCGCGUGGCCGGAUGGGGAGCCGCUGUUUUUACCGUCCACGCUUGAUCGGAGUUUCCUCACGUUCUUCAUUUUCAUCGGUGGCCCUUCAAGUCAACAUCUUUUGUUUUCUAACUGCGUUAGCUUCAGGUCUUUUGGUAGACGGUCCUCCUCCAGCAGUGCUCCGGGGCGUGAGCCAGGCGCCUCCGUCGAAGCUGCUUAGAGCCACCUUCGGGUGAGUGCUCGUCCGAUCGACUCGUCAUAGCUAUUCUCUUGUUUGUUUUCUGGUCAUUCCUGAUAGAACAAGAAGCGUGAAGCUAGGGAGAUCUAAAUUUGUUGUCUCUUGUUCUAGUCAUUAUUAGCUUCAAGUUCUUCUUAUGAAUUGCUUGGACUAAUUCAUGGGUUUCUUGGAGGUUUUUUACUUUUUUUUGCAGCCUCUUAGAACAGAAUAGCUGUUUAGCAGAUUGGGUUUCAAUUAAUUUUGUAACCAAAC